CGGGCGGCGAGGCGGGAGCCGGGAGCCGCUUCCCACGGGCAGCGGGAGGGUGAGCUGGGACCACCGGGGGAGCGCGACCUCCGGCGCGCAGGGACAGCGCGGUGCCGGAGCUGCCGAGCCGCCCGGGGGAGGCGGUGUUUCCCCGGGCCGGGGGAGAGCCCGCUUGUCCGGAGCCUGCGGAGAUCUCGCCGGUGAUAGGGAGCUGCGGGGAGCUCCGCUCACCCCGUGCCCGGCAGGAAAGUUAUCCGCCCCCCUCCUGCCUCACAGCCUCCGCUUUUGCUCGGCUGCCCGGGCUGCCCUUUCUGCCAGCUGUGUGACUGGGUUUCGGCUGGCCGCUCGCCAAAGGGAACGUAUGUAGGGAAGAAAUCUGGUGCCGGUUCUAUCACUUUGCCCGGCUGGCUUGGCGCGGCAGCGACGCUGCCUUCUCCCCGCCCCGUCUCCCAGCCUCUAACCCAGAGCACGGCUCUGCGGCGACCACCGCCACCGGCGCACAGCCAGCGCCGCUCUUCCAGGCAGCCUCGGGCAAGGAGGGGGCCCAAAGGGAGCAAAAGGAGUGAGGGACAAGCUGCCCUGUGCCUCCCGAACGCCCUGCGUGGUCCUCGCCCUCCUGUUCCGCACGUUCGUGCUGCCAGCAGCGCGCACGGCGCCCUGCCGGAGAUCCCCCGCAGGCAUAGCCCUCCCCGUCGGACAGCGCUGCAAUGACACGCUCUAACGCAGCUAUCAGUCACUUACACAGCCACACCCAUAUAUAUAUGAUGCAUAGAUAUCUAUGUACUCGUAUGAACACACCCCCGUGCGCACAGGCGGCCGCCGGGGGAAGCCGCAUCUCCCCGCGGACGGGUUCACCAGAAGUCGACCUGCUACGGCGAAAGCAGGAGGAGAAUUAACGCAGCAGGAAAAAGCAGCAGAAGGGAGAGCCCGAGGGGAGCCGCCACCGGAGCCGCCUCUCGGCCCCGCGCUCCCUGCGCUGGCCGCGGGCUCCCCGCCGCGAUGCCGGCAGCCGGGCUCGCCGCCCGCCGGCGCUGCGGAGAGCUGCGGGCAGGGAAUCCCUCUGCGUCUCCUCGGGGAAGAUCUGUCAUCUUUCAUGGAGACCUCCUCCUUGAUUCUUUGUGCGAUGAUGAAGAGUGGAUAGCUCAAGCAAGAAAGGAAGUUUCAUUUCACAAGAGGAAGCUGUUCUAUUUUAGUGCAGUAUCUUUCAAACUAUUCCUACAUUUAUUAAAAUACAUGUAUGUUGCAAGUUUCAUUACCACUAAGAAUGUGCCGAAGACGAAGUCUACUAAGCCAGGUGAAAAAAGUGUACAGUGUUUUUUAUUCUUAUCAACCACAUUGUAUGAAAUAAGUGUGCGUUCCAGUUUUACACACAAAUAGAAGGUUACGUUUGUGUUGUAUUUUUGCUUCAGGUAGCGCAAACACAACAUAAGAUUUUUACAUACACAGAAAUCAGAUGUCAAGUAAACUUAAGAUGUAGUCAACAACAUGAAGCAACAUUUAUAGUCAGACCAGUUUCUUCAGCUUUAGCAGCCUGGCACCACUCAAGUCACCAACAAGGAUGGACUGACAAAGGAGGAACAGCAUUAAAAUGGAAGAAAAUAGAGGCUAAGAAUGAAGAUAAAUUAUCCUUGUUUGAAAAAUAUGAGAAUGAAAAGAAGACCAAGCAAGCAAGUGACACCCUUGGUAAAACUGUAUUGACUACCUAUCUGCAAGAGAUCAUUUGUCUUCUUUUCUCUGCCAAAAUUACU